rnacentral:rRNA from 1 species
ACGGGAGGCAGCAGUGGGGAAUAUUGCACAAUGGGCGAAAGCCUGAUGCAGCGACGCCGCGUGAGCGAAGAAGUAUUUCGGUAUGUAAAGCUCUAUCAGCAGGGAAGAAUAAUGACGGUACCUGACUAAGAAGCACCGGCUAAAUACGUGCCAGCAGCCGCGGUAAUACGUAUGGUGCAAGCGUUAUCCGGAUUUACUGGGUGUAAAGGGAGCGCAGGCGGUACGGCAAGUCUGAUGUGAAAGCCCGGGGCUCAACCCCGGUACUGCAUUGGAAACUGUCGAACUAGAAUGUCGGAGGGGUAAGUGGAAUUCCUAGUGUAGCGGUGAAAUGCGUAGAUAUUAGGAGGAACACCAGUGGCGAAGGCGGCUUACUGGACGAUCACUGACGCUGAGGCUCGAAAGCGUGGGGAGCAAACAGGAUUAGAUACCCUGGUA